rnacentral:tRNA from 1 species
AGCUCAGCUGGCUAGAGCGCAACCUUGCCAAGGUUGAUGUCGCGGGUUCGAAUCCCGUC